rnacentral:tRNA from 1 species
GGGGAUGUAGCUUAGAUGGUAGAGCGCUUGCUUAGCAUGCGAGCAAGCGAGAGGUAUGGGGAUUGAUACCCCACUUCUCUA